rnacentral:rRNA from 1 species
UGAGCAACCUGCCCUUGACUCUGGAAUAACAGUUGGAAACAGCUGCUAAUACCGGAUACGACCUCCGACGGCAUCAUCUGGAGGUGGAAAGCUCCGACGGUCAAGGAUGGGCUCGCGGCCUAUCAGCUUGUUGGUGAGGUAACGGCUCACCAAGGCUUCGGACGGGUAGCCGGCCUGAGAGGCGACCGGCCACACGUGGGACUGAGAUACCGGCCCAGACCUCCGUACGGGAGCA